GCUUACGGCCACACCGCCUGGUUCACGUCCGAUCUCGUUUGAUCUCGGAAGCUAAAAUAGGUUGGGCCUGGUUAGUGCUUGCAUGGGAGACUGCCUGGGAAUACCAGGUGCUGUAAGCU
rnacentral:rRNA from 1 species